rnacentral:rRNA from 1 species
GAUGAACGCUGGCGGCGUGCCUAAUACAUGCAAGUCGAGCGAACGGACGAGAAGUUUGCUUCUCUGAUGUUAGCGGCGGACGGGUGAGUAACACGUGGAUAACCUACCUAUAAGACUGGGAUAACUUCGGGAAACCGGAGCUAAUACCGGAUGAUAUUUUGAACCGCAUGGUUCAAAAGUGAAAGACGGUCUUGCUGUCACUUAUAGAUGGAUCCGCGCUGCAUUAGCUAGUUGGUAAGGUAACGGCUUACCAAGGCAACGAUGCAUAGCCGACCUGAGAGGGUGAUCGGCCACACUGGAACUGAGACACGGUCCAGACUCCUACGGGAGGCAGCAGUAGGGAAUCUUCCGCAAUGGGCGAAAGCCUGACGGAGCAACGCCGCGUGAGUGAUGAAGGUCUUCGGAUCGAAAAACUCUGUUAUUAGGGAAGAACAUAUGUGUAAGUAACUGUGCACAUCUUGACGGUACCUAAUCAGAAAGCCACGGCUAACUACGUG